CCCGCCGGACCUGACUGCUAUCGGAUCGAUACUAAGCCAUGCGAGUCUUUGUAGUAAUACAAGGCAGACGGCUCAGUAACACGUAGUCAACCUACCCUAUGGACAAGAAUAAUCUCGGGAAACUGGGCAUAAUUCUUGAUAGAUCAUAAUGCCUGGAAUGGUUUAUGGUUAAAAUGAUUCGUCGCCAUAGGAUGGGACUGCGGCCUAUCAGCUUGUUGGUGAGGUAAUGGCCCACCAAGGCGAUUACAGGUACGGGCUCUGAGAGGAGAAGCCCGGAGAUGGGUACUGAGACACGGACCCAGGCCCUAUGGGGCGCAGCAGGCGAGAAAACUUUGCAAUGUGCGAAAGCACGACAAGGUUAAUCCGAGUGAUUUCUGCUAAAGAAAUCUUUUGCCAGUCAUAAAACCACUGGUGAAUAAGGGGUGGGCAAGUUCUGGUGUCAGCCGCCGCGGUAAAACCAGCACCUCAAGUGGUCAGGAUGAUUAUUGGGCCUAAAGCAUCCGUAGCCGGCUUUGUAAGUUUUCGGUUAAAUCCAUGUGCUCAACGCAUGGGCUGCCGAAAAUACUGCAUGGCUAGGGAGUGGGAGAGGUAGACGGUACUCAGUAGGAAGGGGUAAAAUCCUUUGAUCUAUUGAUGACCACCUGUGGCGAAGGCGGUCUACCAGAACACGUUCGACGGUGAGGGAUGAAAGCUGGGGGAGCAAACCGGAUUAGAUACCCGGGUAGUCCCAGCUGUAAACGAUGCAGACUCGAUGAUGCAUUGGCAUAAUAGCCAGUGCAGUGUCGCAGGGAAGCCGUUAAGUCUGCCGCCUGGGAAGUACGUACGCAAGUAUGAAACUUAAAGGAAUUGGCGGGGGAGCACCA
rnacentral:rRNA from 1 species